CCUGCUCCUGUUCAGGAAGGGUCUCCGUUUCUGAGGGAGGAGUUUGUUUGUAGAAGCUCUCGCUGGAUUUUAGCCUUCAUAGAUUCGGUGUAUUCCAGAGAGCAAGGCCUAGCUUCUUUGGCUAACAUGCUUUCUUCCACUCACUCAGUUCUUGUGAUCUUCUUAAUCAUCGGAGGGUCCAAAGGAGACUCAGUGAACCAGACAGAAGGCCCAGUGGUUCUUCCAGAGGAGGCACCUAUGACUCUGAACUGCACUUACCAGACCACUUAUUUGGAUACCUACCUUUUCUGGUACGUCCAGUAUCUCAACAGAGCUCCUCAACUCCUCCUGAAGGGGUCAACUGCAAACCCGAGGGCAGAGGAGCAAGGUUUCCAGGCCACUCUGGAUACGAGUAACAAGACCUUCCACCUGCAGAAACGCUCAGUGCAAACAUCAGACUCGGCUGUGUACUACUGCGCCCUGAGUGACACAGUGAGAGGGGCUGCAGGGGGAGCUGAGCACAAACCCAGAGGGCACAGGUGGGGACUGGCUGUGAGCUGCCCUGGGAGGGGGGGGUUCUUUUCUGUCUCUGCUCUGGCAUGCUGGAGGCAUCCUCAGUGUACUUCCAGCUCUGAUGCUCAGAGCCAGGAUCCUUGGAAUUCUUGGAUUGCUGGACAGAGAGGAAUGUAGGCUGGGGCAGUUUAAGAGGAACCUAAGAGCUCGUCUCAGAAAUGCCUUUCUUCUCAGCCCAACCUCUUUCCUCCAGAUGGCACAGAAUCCCAAGGAAGUGACACCAGCUCUGUUCCAUGACAUACAUGCUGAAAUAUUCCACAAGCUGUUAAGGAAAAUGCCCAUGGCACAUAGUUCAUGGACAGAUGUGUGUGACCUUGAAGCUAGUGCUUGUAUUUUACAGUUCAGACCAGGAUUGGGUGUUUGGCUGAGUUUGACCAGCAGACACUGCAUCUCUCUCUAGCAACUCAGAAAUUUGUUCUCUCUUCCCUUGAAUUCUUAAUUUUUUCUUAUUUUAGGACUGGACAUGCAGCAUAUGGAAG